rnacentral:misc_RNA from 1 species
AAGUCGUAACAAGGUUUCCGUUGGUGAACCAGCGGAAGGAUCAUUACCAUAAUCCAAAAACAUAUGGAUAAACCAACUUUGUGAAUUUUUAUUGAUUUGUCUUUUGGAAUAUGCGGGAAAGAGGGAAAAUGUGCAAUGUUUUUUGCACAUCAAACUCCAACCUUAAAUAUUCCAAAUGUAUUUCAAAACCUUAAAACCAUUAAAAACCUUAUAAUGAAACCAAGAAACCACAAGCGUAACAACUUGUGUGUUAAAAGUUUAAUACAUGACAACUUUUAACGGCGGAUCUCUUGGCUCGU